rnacentral:rRNA from 1 species
ACGACCAUACCUGCAGUAGAAUACGGGAUCACGUCCGCUCUCCCAUAGUCAAGCCUGCAAGGGGCGGAUUAGUAGUUGGGUCGGUGACGACCAGCGAAUACCUGCUGUUGUAUGUC